rnacentral:rRNA from 1 species
AGUGAACGCUGGCGGUAGGCCUAACACAUGCAAGUCGAACGGCAGCACAGUAAGAGCUUGCUCUUACGGGUGGCGAGUGGCGGACGGGUGAGGAAUACAUCGGAAUCUACUUUUUCGUGGGGGAUAACGUAGGGAAACUUACGCUAAUACCGCAUACGACCUACGGGUGAAAGCAGGGGAUCUUCGGACCUUGCGCGAUUGAAUGAGCCGAUGUCGGAUUAGCUAGUUGGCGGGGUAAAGGCCCACCAAGGCGACGAUCCGUAGCUGGUCUGAGAGGAUGAUCAGCCACACUGGAACUGAGACACGGUCCAGACUCCUACGGGAGGCAGCGGUGGGGAAUAUUGGACAAUGGGCGCAAGCCUGAUCCAGCCAUACCGCGUGGGUGAAGAAGGCCUCCGGGUUGUAAAGCCCUUUUGUUGGGAAAGAAAAGCAGCAGGUUAAUACCCCGCUGUUCUGACGGUACCCAAAGAAUAAGCACCGGCUAACUUCGUG